rnacentral:rRNA from 1 species
GACGAACGCUGGCGGCGUGCUUAACACAUGCAAGUCGAACGAAGUGGCGAACGGGUGAGUAACGCGUAAUCAACCUGCCCUUCAGAGGGGGACAACAGUUGGAAACGACUGCUAAUACCGCAUACUGAAGGAGGGGAUUGCGUCUGAUUAGGUAGUUGGGGGGGGAACGGCCCAACAAGGCGAUGAUCAGUCGCCGGUCUGGGAGGGUGAACCGCCAACAUGGGAAUGGAGACAGGCCCAGAAUCCUACGGGAGGCAGCAGUGGGGAAUCUUCCGCAAUGGAGGAAAGUCUUAAGGAGCAACGGCGGCUGGGUGGUGGCGGCCUUCGGGUUGUAAAGCCCUGUUAAUCGGGACGCGGUACCGGAAUAGAAAGCCACGGCUAACUACGUGCCAGCAGCCGCGGUAAUUC